rnacentral:lncRNA from 1 species
AAAAUUUCGCAAUUUUCAUUGAAAAAGGUAUACAAAUUAUUUUGGCAGUUAUUAUUUUGGCGGAUUCUAAACUUUUAUCAAUACUUUGCAUGUACACUUUUAAAUUGGCGGCAUUUAUUUUGGUGAUUGUGUUCUGUCUGCAAAAAUAGCCAACUAUGCGGUAUUUACAGUCUUUUAAUUAGAAGGAAAGGCUAUAAUAUCAUAUGCUAGGGUGCAUGAGACCUGUUGCCUUGAUAUUAUGAUAGAUUUAUUUUCGAGCCUGUGACUUGUCUCAAAAAGCUUGACAUAGGGAUAAUGUUAUGAGAGCAAUGGGGGCG